GACGAACGCUGGCGGCGUGCUUAACACAUGCAAGUCGAACGGCAAGGCCCUGAUUUUGUGCGGUUAUCGGGUGGCGAACGGGUGAGUAACACGUGUGUAACCUGCCCUUGUCUUUGGGAUAACUUCAGGAAACUGGGCCUAAUACCGGAUAGGAGCUCCUGCUGCAUGGUGGGGGUUGGAAAGUUUCGGCGGUUGGGGAUGGACUCGCGGCUUAUCCGCUUGUUGGUGGGGUAGUGGCUUACCAAGGGUUUGCCGGGUAGCCGGCACUGGAGGGGGGCCGGGGACAAUGGGACUGAGAGACGGACCAGACGGCAACGUGAGGCAGCAGUGGGGAAUAUUGCACAAUGGUCGGGAGCGUGAUGCAACAGCGUCGGGGGCGGGAUGACGGCCUGCGGGGUGAAAACAGCUGUCGCCUGUGACGAAGCGGGAGUGACGGUAAUGGAUAAAGAAGCACCGGCUAACUACGUG
rnacentral:rRNA from 1 species